AUUGAACGCUGGCGGCAUGCCUUACACAUGCAAGUCGAACGGCAGCAUGACGUGUAGCAAUACACGUUGAUGGCGAGUGGCGAACGGGUGAGUAAUAUAUCGGAACGUGCCCUGUAGCGGGGGAUAACCUAUCGAAAGAUGGACUAAUACCGCAUACGCUCUACGGAGGAAAGCGGGGGUCGCAAGACCUCGCACUAUAGGAGCGGCCGAUAUCGGAUUAGCUAGUUGGCGGGGUAAAAGCCCACCAAGGCGACGAUCCGUAGCUGGUCUGCGAGGAUGAUCAGCCACACUGGAACUGAGACACGGUCCAGACUCCUACGGGAGGCAGCGGUGGGGAAUUUUGGACAAUGGGCGCAAGCCUGAUCCAGCCAUGCCGCGUGAGUGAAGAAGGCCUUCGGGUUGUAAAGCUCUUUCGGCAGGGACGAAAUGGUUCGUGCUAAUACCACGGAUUGAUGACGGUACCUGAAGAAGAAGCACCGGCUAACUACGUGCCAGCCGCCGCGGUAA
rnacentral:rRNA from 1 species